rnacentral:lncRNA from 10 species
AAUGUGCUUCCACAUCCCUGAUAGAAUAAACAGGGCAGAGCCCACAGCACCAUCUGCCCAGCCCAGCCAAAGCGAGGAGUGAGGGGAGGGGCAGGGGCUCCAACAGUGUUCUCUGGGUCCCUGGGAGGUUGGUGCAUUUUUGCUGAGAGAGUGCUAUGGUUAGUAAGAAGAAGAGGAGGCUUCAUUUUGUAUCAUUUGGAGAGUGAUGAGUUUCAGACAGUGAGUCCUGAAAAUGCCAUGGAAUUCAAGGCUGACUGCAGAUUGUACACUGGACACAGCCUCAAGACAUCUAGGGAAUUCUCAUCCUCAUCUGUGCAAUGUGAACAUUCACAUCAGAAGGUAUCUACAACUAUUAAGUGAGACAAAGUACAGGCAUUUUUCAAGCCUGGCACAAAACAAGAACUUGACAAAUAUUACCUACAAUAAAGAUGUCACUGAACACGUGACUUCUGUCUCCUGAGCACCACGCAGAGCUACAGAGAUGAAAGCAGAAUCCAUUCAAUCCAUAGUUACGGCCUUGGUCUGAGUCAAUCGCCUGCCAUUUUCCAGAGAAAGAAUGAAUGAAGACAACUUUGGAUACAAGAAUACUCGUGACAGUGAUUUUCUCCCAUCAACCAUGCCAGCACUGAGGGGUAUUCUCCGUAUAAUGUGAGGAUAUGCCCUCUCUUUUAGACCUGUUUCCCCCCAAAAUAUAGAAAUAUCACAGUAACAUUUUACUUGUCAGAAAUCCAAGCCGCUAACAAACUCACUAAAUUAGUUAAUUUUCACAUUGCUAUAAAAAACUUCCCUGAGACUGGGUAAUUUUAAAGGAAAGAGGUUUAACUGACUUACAGUUCCACAUGGCUGGGAAGACUUCAGGAAACUUAUAAUCAUGGCGGAAGGGGAAGCAGGCAUCUUCUUAACAAGGCAUCAGGAGGGAGAAGAACAAAGGAGGAACUUCUAAACACGCAUAAAACCAUCAGAUCUUGUGAAACUCAUUCACUAUCAUGAGAACAGCAUGGGGGAAACUGCCCCAUGAUCCAAUCCCCUCCCAGCCUCGACACACAGGGGUUACAAUUUGAGAUGAGAUUUGGGUGGGGAUACAGAGCCAAACUGUAUCACUGCCCUAUAAAGAAGCCUCCCCGAAACAGAAAGCGAAUGUAAGCAUUUUCCCACGUGCACUUGAGGGAGAUCUCAGCACCUGUGGACCAUCCCCUGUGCCCGGCUACGCACAUCUUCUUAGGCUGCUGCUCCUGAAGAACACUUACUCCCUGCAGGGUCUUCAGAGCCUACUAAACCACCUUCUGACCUGCUGCAGGGUAGAGGGUGUAGGAAAGAAGAGGUGGUCCUUCUGCGGGUCGGGAAGCCACCAGGGUCUGGUGUGUGCAGUGUGAGGCAGCCGAGUGCGAGGUCGGAAGGUCUGCUCAGGCCUCCUCAUUCCCAGACUCCCACUGUGAUCUGUUCUUUCUUCCUGGAGUCAGACGCCACACACACCCCAAGGAUCCCAGAGCUUCUACCAUUGCUGCUGUCUCGUUGGAGCUCCAAACUUGCAGAGCCAGCUGUCUUUCAGCCACCUCUUCUCAGAUGUCACACCAAUAUCACAAAUUUGAAGCACUCAAACCUUCACUCUCAGUAUCCACACAUUCUCCCACCCCUAACAUGCGAUUUCUCUCCCACUCCCUAUCUGGCCAUCCAAAGCAUAAACCUCUCCCCCAGCACAGCAACCACUAGGUCAUGGUGACCUCAUGGGGAGUGUCCCCCAGGUUGUCCAUUUUCCUCCAUCCCCACCCUGGUCCGGGGCCCACCCAUUUAACUUGGGUCCCUGAACCCGCGUCUGAGUUCCCUCUCCCUGUACUGUUUUACUGCUUCCAAUCCUUUCUCCAUGACAGUCAGGGUGAUUGUGCUCAGUGGCACAUGUGAUCCUGCUGCAGCUCUCUCUGGGUCUCCUUUUGUUCUUUGCACAGAAUCCCAACCCUAAGGGGUCACCCAACCCUCUUCAUGCAUUGCCUCUGGCUCACCCUGCAACCUAAUGUCCUGUCCCAUAUCCCCCCAGCCCAGUGUCUGAGCAUGCUCACUUCAUCUGGUUCCUUGGGGUUCAGCCUCCCCCACACCUCUGGGUUUGUCUGGACAUCUGGACAUCUUGUCCCACAUUCCCCAUCCCGGGCCUCCCCAGCCCAGCAUAUGAGCGUGCUCAUUUCAUCCUAUUCCCUAGAGUUCAGCCUCCUCCACAGCUUUUGGUUUGUCUGGACGUCUGGACAGCUUGUCCCGCAUCCCCCACUCCCCAGCCCAGCAUCUGAACAUGCUGAUUUCAUCUUGUUUCUCGGGGUUUAGCCUUCCCCCACACCUCUGGGUUCGCCUGGCAGCAGCAGCUUUUCUCCUCCCCACACUUUCUCUCCACUAAGAGGUACAACAUCUUUUGGUUCCCAAGAUGGCUGCCCCUUCUUUCAUGAAGAUUUCUGGGAUCGCUGAAAUAUGGAACAGACGCACCAUGACACAGGCUUUCUCGGUAGCAGUGAUAAGCCCGCUGCCCUUGUUCUUAUGGUACAAUAUUGCAGUUGCUUGUUCGGUGGCUUUCUUCUCCCUUAGACUGCAGGAAAGGAAAGAGAAAUGACAGUAACCAGGCAUCCUGCUAAGGACAUUGCACAUACUAUGUCAUUUAAUCCUUAAAGCCUUUUUUAAAAAGUAACAUUAUUAACCCUACUUUGUGGAUGAGAAACUGAGAUUAAGAAAGAGUAAGUGAUUUUUCCCCAAGUGAUCUGGUGUGAAGGAGCCAAGAGUCAAGCUCAGACAAUGCAAGCGACGCCCAUCCCGGCUUCACUCAGCAGCAGGACCAGGCCUUCCCUUCUCCUGUGCUUCCAGGGUCUCCAGAGCUUAGAAAGUGCACAACAAAGUCCAUGCUCAAGUUUCAUGGGGUGCAAGCAAAAUGAACAGACUAUGACCAAAAAAACAGGGAGAAUGUAUUACUAUAGGGGACAAAUGGGUGCCCCAUGGAGGAACUGGGUUUAGAAGGGCAGGAGCCAGGGUGGUGGUCGGUUUUCAGGGAGCUCAAGAACAGCAGUGCAGAGUGCCGCUUCCUGGAGGGCUGUCCUCAAACACUCUCCCCGGAGUGCAAGUCCCUGUGAAGCGAGUGCCUGGAGGUCUCACUCAAUUCCUGUGACACUCCCCUGUGGCUGGGCAUAUUGACCAACAGUGUCCCCAGGACUACGUGGCCUGGAUCAGAUGCCACAAUGACAACACCCUCAGGCCUUCAGUGGCAGACAGUACAGACACGGACCUAUUCCUGAGUCUGAUGGGUCUGGGUGAGCACAUCUGGGCUGGGUUUGACUAAUCUCAGCUCACUGGCGCAUCUGCGGUUGCUGCACGUGUGUGUGUUAGGCGGCUCUGCCGAUUUUGGCUGGGCUUGCCCACCAGCUGGCUGACCUAGAACCACCUGGGUGGGACCCUGGGUGACCCCCCUCGGGGCCUGUGCCAUCCUCCAGUAGAUCAUCCCGGGGAACACGGGCAUGGUGGCAGAGCACCAGCAGGGAGACCAUCUCUUCUGCAAAUGGUUGAGGGAACUGGAUCAUGCAAAAGAAUGAAAUUGCACCCUUAUACCAGACACAAAAAUCCACUCCAGAUGGAUUAAAGGCUUAAUCAUAAGACCCCAAACUGCAAAAGUCCUAGAAGAAAACAUAGCGAAGCAUCUUCCAGACAUUGGUCUUGGCAGUGAUUUCCUUGAUAUGACCCCAAAGCACAGGAAACAAAAGCAAAAAUAGGCAAGUGACACUAAGCUUGCUCAAACUAAAAAAGCUCCUGCAAGCAAAGGGCGCAAUCAACAGAAUGAAAAGGCAGCGUGUAGGAUGGGGAAAAUAUUUGCAAGUUAUAAAUCGGAUUGAGUUAAUAUCCUAAAUAUAUUAGGAACUGCUAUAACUCCACAGCAAAAUAAUAAUAAAAAUAAUAACAUGAC